rnacentral:rRNA from 1 species
GACGAACGCUGGCGGCGUGCCUAAUACAUGCAAGUUGAGCGCUGAAGGUUGGUACUUGUACCAACUGGAUGAGCAGCGAACGGGUGAGUAACGCGUGGGGAAUCUGCCUUUGAGCGGGGGACAACAUUUGGAAACGAAUGCUAAUACCGCAUAAAAACUUUAAACACAAGUUUUAAGUUUGAAAGAUGCAAUUGCAUCACUCAAAGAUGAUCCCGCGUUGUAUUAGCUAGUUGGUGAGGUAAAGGCUCACCAAGGCGAAGAUACAUAGCCGACCUGAGAGGGAGAUCCGCCACAAUUGGACUGAGACAACGGCCAAACUCCUAACGGGGGCAGCAGUAGGGGAAUAUCGGACAUUGACGAAAGUCUGGCCGAGCAACGCCGCGGUAGGUAAGAAGGUUCUCGGAUUGGAAAACUCUGUUGGUAGAGAAGAAAGUUGGUGAGAGUGGAAAGCUCAUCAAGUGACGGUAACUAACCAGAAAGGGACGGCUAACUACGUG